GGGCUUCUCAUAAAUAGCUCAGACAGUAGAGCAUGGGACUCUUAAUCUGAGGGCCAUGAGUUCGAGCCCCACGAUGUUCA